rnacentral:lncRNA from 1 species
UUACAUCUCAAAAAUACUUAUUCUUUAAUUUUUUUCUUACUGAAAAAUAUAUUUACUGCACAUUAUAAACGAAAUUUUUUUUUCUUUAGUCUUUUUUUCUCUGUCCUGUCUUGUUUUCCUAGUCAGGGUUUGGGAUGUUAUACGCAAAGGCUUUGGGCUUGGUCCAAGAAACAAACUCUAGAAGGCUUUUUGGGUUACUUCUAUCGUCUAGUUGUAGUUGGCCCAGAUCUGCUAAGCAC